rnacentral:rRNA from 1 species
AUUGAACGCUGGCGGCAUGCCUAACACAUGCAAGUCGAACGGCAGCACGGGAAUCGUGCUGCCCUCGUGUUGGCGACGGGCGGGUGAGUAACACGUACAUAACCAACCGAUGGGGCUGGGAUGACUACGGGAGGACGGAUACCAUACCGGAUCAUAUGUUGAACGGCGGGGAUCAUCGGAGCUAGACGGUUUUGCUGGCCCUAAGAGAUGUUUCCGCGUUGCAUUAGCUAGUUGGUAAGGUAACGGCUUACCAAGGCAACGAUGCGUAGCCGACCUGAGAGGAUGACCAGCCACACUGGAACUGAGACACGGUCCAGACUCCUACGGGAGGCAGCAGUGGGGAAUCUUGGACAAUGGGCGAAAGCCUGACCCAGCAAUGCCGCGUGAGUGAUGAAGGCCUUCGGGUCGUAAAGCUCUUUUGUUGGGAAAGAAAAGAAGUGUGCGAAUACCUCGAUAUCAUGACGGUACCCAAAGAAUAAGCACCGGCUAACUACGUG